rnacentral:tRNA from 2 species
GUAUUCAGAGUUUUUUUGAUAACAACAAGGGACUAAUAAUCCCUUGGUCCAAGGUUCAAAUCCUGGUGGGCCCACCA